rnacentral:rRNA from 1 species
CCUACGGGAGGCAGCAGUGAGGAAUAUUGGUCAAUGGCCGGAAGUCUGAACCAGCCAAGCCGCGUGAAGGAGGAAUGCCCUAUGGGUUGUAAACUUCUUUUACAUGGGAAUAAAAUGUCCCACUCGUGGGAUUCUGUAUGUACCAUACGAAUAAGGAUCGGCUAACUCCGUGCCAGCAGCCGCGGUAAUACGGAGGAUCCGAGCGUUAUCCGGAUUUAUUGGGUUUAAAGGGAGCGUAGGUGGAUUGUUAAGUCAGUUGUGAAAGUUUGGGGCUCAACCGUAGAAUUGCAGUUGAAACUGGCAGUCUUGAGUACAGUAGAGGUGGGCGGAAUUCGUGGUGUAGCGGUGAAAUGCUUAGAUAUCACGAAGAACACCGAUUGCGAAGGCAGCUCCCUGGACUGCAACUGACACUGAGGCACGAAAGUGUGGGGAGCAAACAGGAUUAGAUACCCCAGUAGUC